AUGCCCGCACCCGAUGUUUGCGACAGCCGCCACGGCGGCGUCCAAGGCCCCUCCUUCCUCCCCAUCCACCUCCCCCCACACGCUCCAACCCUGCAGCCCGGCAGCCCUUCCUCCCCGCCCCGAUCCGUGCCGCCGCUCUCCUUCCGCCACCUCUCGCCCUGCGCGCGCUGGUCCGCCUGGGUCACCGCGGCCCUCUCCGACCCCGGGUUCGCUCUCGUCCUCCGCUCCGCCGCCAUCUCCGACGCCGUCGCCGCCUCCACGGCCGCCGUCAUACCCGACCGCCACGCCCUGUCCGCGCUCCUCUCCCUCUGGCAUCCGGACUCCCACACCUUCCGGCUCCCCGCCGGGCCCGCCACUUUCUCGCUCGAGGACGCGCUCCUCCUCGCCGGCCUGCCCCCCUCCGGCGCUCCCUUGGACCGGCCCCUCACUCCCACCGAGGAGGACCUCCGCGUCCGCCUGGUGGUGGAGAAGGAGAAGAUCAGGGAGCUCCACCCGUGCGCCCGCAAAGCCCGGCGGGUGUCCGCGGAGCUCUGGCUCGAAUGGUUCGACAGCAGAAUCCGGCCCGGGGAGGACGACGAGCUGCGCCACCUCGGGUUCCUCGCCUACUGGCUGGCCUUCUUUGUUACCCCACCCCUACGGCGCAAGGGCUGGGAGCUACCAGAGUGUCUCUUUGCACUCGCCGCCCGGCUUUGUCUUGGCGAGCGCAUUGCCCUCGGCCCGGCGGUGGUGGCUAAUCUCUAUGCUGAGAUGGACAGGAUUGUUACUUCCGGGGUGGCGAGUGGCCGCGUGGACGUUUGGGCGCCGCUCUGGCUGCUGCAGGCGUGGAUGUGGGAGCGCUACGACCGCCUGCGCCCGCCGGAGCUGAGAGCACCAGAGUUCCCUGUCUCGAAUGUCCGCGUGCUCUUUUGGGCUCGGAGGAGGAGGAAGACCACAAGUGAGGAGUCUUCACGGGUUUUGCAGGAAGAGGAUUGCUUCGAGUGGAGGCCUUACCUGCACAACUCUCUCAACUGGACUGAACCUGGGUGGUUCAGCAAGGAAACCGUCUUGGUGAGCUCUAGAGGUAAGGAUAAGCCCGAGUGGUUGGAGGAUUACCUUGCAAUUAUAAGGCAAGCGGCGUUGACUGGAUUGUGCGGUGAUGGCAUGUAUAACACGGCAAUGUACAAUCCCCACAUUGUCGCAAGGCAGCUUGGUUACGAUCAGGAUGUUCCUUUUCCUAUUGUCCAUGGGUUUGACUCCAAGGGAAUCGAGGAUGCUGACCAAUAUGGUAGGUCGGAAAUAGCAUACCAGGAAAACAGUGAUAACUCAUCUCCACCGAAUGAGCCUAACAGAAAUGUUGUAGAUACGGCAGGUGAUAAAUGUAGAGAAAGUACCAUGCCAGAUAGCAGAAAAUGCACCAUAGAAGAUCUGCUAGCUCAGGAGAACGAAACAGAGGUGGUUGUCCUAGACCUUAGUUCAAGUGAUACAGACUGCAGUGCAACUGUGGUGAAAGGAAAGAUUGAGAAGAAAAAGAGGCUAGACAAACUCUCUGGAAAUGGUGAUAGGAAUAAGAGAAACAAGGUGUUUGAUGGCCAUGAAGGUCUCCAGGUAUGUGAUGACGGGCUUGAAGGCCGGAAGUACUGUGGUCUCCCAAAAGAUCCAAAUUCUCACAUUGAUAAACGUGAUGCACAGCUUGAGAGUGACGAUGAAUGUGUUGUUCUUGAAUCACAUGGUGAGAAAUGUGAAGUAAUAAACCUCGAUGAUGAUCAGGAAGAGAGUAUCCUUGAUCCUGAAGAUCAUGAUAGGCAACUUGUCCUGGAGCUAGAAGAGUUUGUGCGCUCUGGGCUUUUCUCACAAUGGGAGGAAAGCUCUGAUGAAGAUGAAGCGGGUGGAAGAAAGCAAGAAUCACUGAAGAAUAGCAACAAUGACCCUUGUGCUGAAGCAGCCAUGAGAGAGUACCCUGUGUUCUUUGAGCUCAUUCCCCAGAGACCACAUUACAGAGGGUUGGUGAAGAACGAUGACGCUCUACGAGAUUUGGCCUGCAGUGGAAUGUGGUUAUUAUUGGUUGGCCUGGCAAGGGAGGUGCUCAAGACAUCAUGUGACACUGAUGCCGCGGAAGUUGCAUAUCUGAUGAAAAAAGCUCGGGAAUUGGAACAAAAUGGGUUUAAUGUGAAGCACUUCAUUGCCCGUCUGAAGGAGCCACAGACCCGACUUAGAAGGCUUCAGGAUUCCAAGGCAAGGCUUGAGUAUGCCCGGACUAAAGCACAAGAAUCGGAAGGUGUUAAAUCACUUUCAAACCAUUUGAGUAAGCUGAAACACAAUAUACUUACAAUGGAGAGGCACUUGGAUGGAAAUAAACAAGCUCGUAGUGCAUCUGUGCACAAUGAAUUGAGUGAAGGAAUCAAUCUAGUCAGCUUGGAGAAGGAAGUAGAAGCUGCAGAAAAAUACUGUCAGGCAAUGAAGGAUGAAGUGGCUGCAAUGAGACUGAGAUACACAGCAGAACUACAAACCAUGAAAACUUUGGAACGUGAAGUAAAUCAACCAGGGGAUACUUUCAACCUGCACAAUAGGUCAAAGGAUAGAGGAGUAGAAGCCAAUUAUGCUUUGAAGCUUGCGGACAACCCUCCAAAGAGAUUAAAGUUGGAUGAAUACGAAGUAGCAAUGCUGGGAGAGUCUCGUGGUGCUGGUGAAGGAGAUGCAGAAACACAAAACCAACUGGUCAUCAGGGACCAGCGGCAAUUUGAAAUGAUGGGUCAGAAUGAAGUAAUUCUGCCGGCCCGAGUGACCAACGAGUUGGUAUCUCAGGUCUGGUCAAAGAAAAUGAAUGCUGAAGGACCAACAAUCUGUACCAAGCAGGCCUCUUUGAGGCAUACCAUGGAUUCCAAACAGAUGAAGGUCUGA
rnacentral:rRNA from 1 species